rnacentral:pre_miRNA from 1 species
CUUAUACUCCCUCCGUCCGAAAAUACUUGUCAUCAAAAUGGAUGAAAGGGGAUGUAUCUAGAUGUAUUUUAGUUCUAAAUACAUCUCUUUUUAUCUAUUUUGAUGACAAGUAUUUUCGAACGAAGAGAGUAUUAG